rnacentral:tRNA from 1 species
CUGCCAGGGGGCGUCAGUGGCCGGCGCCUCGACCAGCUCGAAGCUGGUCUUGGUUUCUUCCAGGCGCGGAUCGUCGUGGCGCAGGCGCUC